rnacentral:rRNA from 1 species
UGGGGAAUAUUGGACAAUGGGCGUAAGCCUGAUCCAGCCAUGCCGCGUGAGUGAUGAAGGCCUUAGGGUUGUAAAGCUCUUUUACCAGGGAUGAUAAUGACAGUACCUGGAGAAUAAGCUCCGGCUAACUCCGUGCCAGCAGCCGCGGUAAUACGGAGGGAGCUAGCGUUGUUCGGAAUUACUGGGCGUAAAGCGCGCGUAGGCGGCCAUUCAAGUCAGAGGUGAAAGCCCGGAGCUCAACUCCGGAACUGCCUUUGAAACUAGAUGGCUAGAAUCCAGGAGAGGUGAGUGGAAUUCCGAGUGUAGAGGUGAAAUUCGUAGAUAUUGGGUGGAACACCAGUGGCGAAAGCGGCUCUCUGGUCCGGAUCUGACGCUGAGGCGCGAAAGCGUGGGGAGCAAACAGGAUUAGAUACCCGCGUAGUCC